AUGGGCGGGGCCCGUGAAAUUUCAGACAGGAUUUUCUCCCAUGCACGUCCAGAUGAUCUUAUACAAUUAGAGUUGAUAGGACCUCAGUUGCAGAAUAAUGUUUCAGUCAUUUUAAGGGACAAUCGUGAUUUGAGUGAAUUUGAAAAUUUAUUUCUCAGGGCGGUACAGUCAAACUGGUCAGUAAUGUGCGAGGGCUCGCUCGAGCUUGUAGCUCAGAUCGUUAGACCCCCAGCCGGUAGUGGAAAGAGGAUGCUUAAACACAUACUCGACAAUGAAAUUGUCAGAAAGAAAAGGCGCUUUUUAUAUAUUGUUCAUAACCCUGCAAAUAAGUUAUGUUUUGCUAUAAGUCUUGCCCACCUUCUGCACCCCUAUUUUAACGAUCAACAAGCAGAGGUUUUCGGUAGAGAAAUUCAACAAAAAGCUGGUCUAAAUGAUCAAACGCCUGUUGGUUUUAAUCAAAUAAUUACAUUUGAAAGGUUACUCGGAUGUAAAAUUAUAGUAUUUUACCGUAACGAACACGAUCGCAGCCUUUGUAAAUUUGAAACUAGUACACCAAAUACAGAAAGACCGCUUUGUUUAUUUUUAUUUGAUAAUCAUUACUAUGCUAUCAAAAAUCUAAAAGGAUUUAUAGGAACACACUAUCUCUGUAAUCAUUGUUACAUGGGGUACAACCACGUGUUAGCCCACUUUUGUCCUGCUCGCUGUUCAGUCUGUAUGCAGCCUGACUGUAACCAAUAUUCCCUCUCUCCUAUUGUGUGUCGCGAUUGUAACCGCACCUGUCGGUCUCCCUAUUGUUUCAAGAGCCAUAAAAAACUCGUUGACAGGCGUGAAAGAUCCGCCAGCAACUGUCAGCUCUAUAAAAAAUGUGUCAAGUGUUCCAGACUUUAUUAUUUAGCAGCAAACGAAAAACCUCACAAAUGUCAAAACAGGAAAUGCCCAAUCUGUCGCCAGGAAAUCUCCACUGAUCAGCAAACGCAUCAGUGCUACAUGCAGGUUUUAGAACGCGAGACAAAACACAACAACAAGUUGAUUUUUUACGAUUUUGAAACGUUUGUAAAUGAAACCGGUGAGCACACUCCUUUUCUGGUUUGUACGAAAGCUUUAGACGGUAAAUCCUGGAACUGUGUUGGUGAGGACUGUGCAGAAAAGUUUCUCGCUCAUUUUAGACGUCCACUCUUUAAGGGCUGUAUUUUUAUCGCCCAUAAUGCAAAAGGUUUUGACGGGUACCUUAUUUUAUCCCGAAUGGCUAAACAAGGCUUAAAACCACAUUUAAUUAUGCAAGGAUCCAAAGUGAUCAGUUUUACAGACCCAGACUUUAAUCAACGAUACAUGGAUUCCAGCUGCUUUCUCCCUAUGCCUCUGUCAGGUAUCCCAAAAGCAAUGGGAUUUUCAGACAGCGUAAAGGGUUUCUUUCCUCACUCUUUCAGUUCCAGAGAAACUCUAAAAUAUGUAGGCCCCUACCCUCCACCCUCAGCUUACAGCAUAGAGAGAAUGACAACAAAAGGCAGGGAUGAUUUUUACAAAUGGUAUGAUUCAGUCAGCUCCGGUACCUUCAAUUUCAUGAAAGAGGCCCUGUCAUACUGCGAAAACGAUGUUGAGAUUCUAGCUGAGGGCUGCAAAUUGUUUAGAAACGGGUUUAUUGAAGAAACAGGAGUAGAUCCUUUCAGCCGCAACACGCUUGCAAGUGCCUGCCUAAAAACUUUUUUAACAAACUUCAUGCCAGCCAAUUCUUUAGCAAUACCAUGUCCCCUAAAUUACCGUAAUCAGGUCAAAUCAUUUUCCUCUGCCUCAAUUCAAUGGCUAGAAUAUCUCUCGUACACGCAAGGUGUUUUUAUCAGACAUGCGCUAAAUCAAGGAGAAAAAAAGCUGGGUAGUUAUUAUGUAGAUGGAUAUGCCCUAAUUAAUAAUAAACCAUAUGUCUGGGAAUUUUUGGGGUGUUACUUUCAUGGGUGUGUUAAGUGUUUUUCAAAUCAGGCCGACAUUAAUCCCUUGUUAGACCUAACUUUUGCAGAGCUAAACAGCCGCACUGAAGAAAGACUUGCUAAAUUGAGAACUGAGUAUAAUGUGUGUCUUGUUACAAUCUGGGAGCACGAGUGGACCGAGUUAAAGCGUAUUGAUCAGAGUGUAAUUAGUUUUCUCAAACAUUACGAAGCGCCAGAACCUUUGAACCCCCGCCAUGCCCUCUUUGGAGGGCGUACAAGCCCUGCACAGCUGCGCUGCAGUGCAGGCCCUGGGGAGAGAAUCGGUUAUGUGGAUGUUACCUCGCUGUAUCCGUUUGUAAAUAGCACCUGUAGUUACCCCUUAGGACAUCCUCAAAUAAUCUUUCGAAAUUUUCAGCACCCUAAAAACUACUUUGGGUUUAUCAAAGCGGUUGUAUACCCACCCAGAGCACUCUAUUUUCCAGUUUUACCUUUUAAAACUAAGUCAGGAAAGCUUCUCUUUACCCUCUGCCGCACCUGUGCUGAAAUGAACAACCAACAGGGGGCGUGUAACCAUAGCAACGAGGAGAGAGCACUCAAAGGGGUUUGGACCACUCCAGAAUUUAACCUUGCCUUAGAAAAGGGGUAUCAAAUAAGUAGAAUCACGGAGGUGUGGCACUUUGAGAAACAGAGUAACACAAUAUUCACAGACUAUGUACAUCAUUUCCUGCGCAAAAAACAAGAAGCUUCAGGCUACCCAUCAGAUGUUGUAACUGAGGAGGAUAAACAGCUUUACAUUAAAGACUACCAGGCUAAGCAAGGCAUCACUUUAGACCCUGAAAACAUAAAACUAAACCCAGCUAAAAGACAAAUGGCCAAACUGUGUUUAAACUCUUUUUGGGGAAAAUUUGGCCAGAGAAAUAAUCUCACACAGAGCAAACUGGUGAGUGACCCCGAGGAAUUCUUUAAUCUGAUGUUUUCUCCAAAAUACAAAGUGACCUAUUUCUCUUUUGUCAGUGACGAUGUAGCGCUUAUUCAAUGGUGUUAUGGCGAUCUAUGUACCCCAUUGCCAAACUCCACAGAUAACAUCUUCAUUGCGGCCUUCACUACUUCAUAUGGGCGUAUGAAACUCUACAGUUAUUUGGAUCAGUUGCAGGAGAGAGCAAUUUACUACGAUACUGACAGUGUUGUUUAUCUCACCAAACAAAAUCAAUCUGAACUAGAAUUAGGUAGAUAUUUGGGUGACCUCACCAAUGAACUAGAGCAGGAUGAUUUCAUUACAGAGUUUGUUGCAGCUGGACCCAAAAGCUAUGGCUAUAUGACCAAAAAAGGUAAAGUUGUCUUGAAAGCAAAAGGGAUCACACAAACACAUGAUGUCUGCGAAAGGGUCAACUUUGAAUCUGUGAAAAACCUGGUUGACAAUUACAUUGAUAACAGUGAAGGAGGGUCUACACUUGAGGCACCACAGCACACUAUCCUUCGUAAUAAAGCUGGGUUUGCACUGAAAAUUCAUCAUUCCCCAAAAAAUUCCGGGUUGUUUAUGACAAGCGUAGAUUGCUGCCAGGAGGUCUGA
ensembl:lncRNA